GCCGUAAACAAUUAAUUUACACCAAUAAGCGCCAGGGAAUUACGAGCAAUGCUUAAAACCCAAAGGAUUUGACGGUGUCCCACCCCACUAGAGGAGCCUGUUCUAUAAUCGAUGAUCCCCGAUACACCCGACCAUUUCUCGCUUAUCAGUCUGUAUACCUCCGUCGAAAGCUUACCAUGUGAACGCCCGCAGUAGGCUUAAUGACCUUACACGUCAGUACGUCAGGUCAAGGUGCAGCUUAAGAAAUGGGAAGCAAUGGGCUACAAUUUCUAAUUUAGAACAAACGAAAGACUGUAUGAAAUUACAAUCAUGAAGGUGGAUUUAGUAGUAAAAAGAAAGUAGAGUGUUCUUUUUAACCCGGCUCUGGGACGCGUACACACCGCCCGUCACCCUCUUCGAUAGUAUCUUAUCUAGUUCCUAACCUAUUACUACAUUUUAGAAGAGGCAAGUCGUAACAUGGUAAGUGUACUGGAAAGUGCACUUGGUUUAU
rnacentral:rRNA from 1 species